rnacentral:rRNA from 1 species
GAUGAACGCUGGCGGCGUGCCUAAUACAUGCAAGUCGAGCGAACGGACGAGAAGCUUGCUUCUCUGAUGUUAGCGGCGGACGGGUGAGUAACACGUGGAUAACCUACCUAUAAGACUGGGAUAACUUCGGGAAACCGGAGCUAAUACCGGAUAAUAUUUUGAACCGCAUGGUUCAAAAGUGAAAGACGGUCUUGCUGUCACUUAUAGAUGGAUCCGCGCUGCAUUAGCUAGUUGGUAAGGUAACGGCUUACCAAGGCAACGAUGCAUAGCCGACCUGAGAGGGUGAUCGGCCACACUGGAACUGAGACACGGUCCGGACUCCUACGGGAGGCAGCAGUAGGGAAUCUUCCGCAAUGGGCGAAAGCCUGACGGAGCAACGCCGCGUGAGUGAUGAAGGUCUUCGGAUCGUAAAACUCUGUUAUUAGGGAAGAACAUAUGUGUAAGUAACUGUGCACAUCUUGACGGUACCUAAUCAGAAAGCCACGGCUAACUACGUGCCAACAGCCGCGGUAAUACGUAGGUGGCAAGCGUUAUCCGGAAUUAUUGGGCGUAAAGCGCGCGUAGGCGGUUUUUUAAGUCUGAUGUGAAAGCCCACGGCUCAACCGUGGAGGGUCAUUGGAAACUGGAAAACUUGAGUGCAGAAGAGGAAAGUGGAAUUCCAUGUGUAGCGGUGAAAUGCGCAGAGAUAUGGAGGAACACCAGUGGCGAAGGCGACUUUCUGGUCUGUAACUGACGCUGAUGUGCGAAAGCGUGGGGAUCAAACAGGAUUAGAUACCCUGGUAGUCCACGCCGUAAACGAUGAGUGCUAAGUGUUAGGGGGUUUCCGCCCCUUAGUGCUGCAGCUAACGCAUUAAGCACUCCGCCUGGGGAGUACGACCGCAAGGUUGAAACUCAAAGGAAUUGACGGGGACCCGCACAAGCGGUGGAGCAUGUGGUUUAAUUCGAAGCAACGCGAAGAACCUUACCAAAUCUUGACAUCCUUUGACAACUCUAGAGAUAGAGCCUUCCCCUUCGGGGGACAAAGUGACAGGUGGUGCAUGGUUGUCGUCAGCUCGUGUCGUGAGAUGUUGGGUUAAGUCCCGCAACGAGCGCAACCCUUAAGCUUAGUUGCCAUCAUUAAGUUGGGCACUCUAAGUUGACUGCCGGUGACAAACCGGAGGAAGGUGGGGAUGACGUCAAAUCAUCAUGCCCCUUAUGAUUUGGGCUACACACGUGCUACAAUGGACAAUACAAAGGGCAGCGAAACCGCGAGGUCAAGCAAAUCCCAUAAAGUUGUUCUCAGUUCGGAUUGUAGUCUGCAACUCGACUACAUGAAGCUGGAAUCGCUAGUAAUCGUAGAUCAGCAUGCUACGGUGAAUACGUUCCCGGGUCU